rnacentral:rRNA from 1 species
CCCUUAGAUGUUCUGGGCCGCACGCGUGCUACACUGAGUGGAUCAGCGGGUCAGGUUGCGCGAAAGUGUUUCCUAAUCUUGAAAUCCGCUCGUGAUGGGGAUUGACGGUUGCAAUUUUCCGUCAUGAACGAGGAAUACCUUGUAAGCGCGGGUCAUCAUCCCGCGCUGAAUACGUCCCUGCCCUUUGUACACACCGCCCGUCGCUCCUACCGAUUGAGUGGUCCGGUGAGGCUUUGGGAUCUGAGCAAAAAGAGCGUUUCGCUGUUUCUGCUCGGAAAACUCAGUCGAACCUUAUCAUUUAGAGGAAGGAGAAGUCGUAACA